rnacentral:lncRNA from 1 species
GUAGCUCUUCAUGCAUUAGCCUUCUCUCUUUAUUGUUCUUGACUCUCAAAAAAUGGUCCAAAAUCUUUCCCUUCAUUAUUUGAAGAAGAUAAAGAAUUUUUGUUAUCAGGUUCAACAGGAAAUUCAUCAAAAUGACACUCUUUGUGAAAAAAAUUGUGGAAUCCGACACGAACUAAUACACAAGCAGAGCUCGUAUUAGUUUGUUAUGGAAAUGGAGCUAUUUUGAAAAUUGUAAAUCGUGAUUUAAAUAUACCAAAUAUCCUUGCCACUAUGUUUCUUAAGGAAGAUUAAACAACUCUUUUGUAUUUUCAGGGUCACGACAUUGACCAAUAAAAUCUUGAAGGUGAUGACAAACACCUUGAAAUGGAGUUAAGAAUUGAUAUUGAUUGAAAAUCUACAAUCUCCUAAAAAAAUAUUUACCUGAAUAUAAAAUACUUGUAAAAUUAGCAAGUGACUUAUAACAUGUAUAAUUAUCACACAAUAAGAUAAAAGAAAAAAAAUGUGAAAUAAUAAAGUCAUAACUUGUAGGACUUUAAGUCCAUUUCUCCUUAUUUAGAAUCAUGUGCUGAUUCACUUAGAACGUUCUUUUGGUGCCAUGUUCAAGAACCUUAGUAUUGAGCAGAUCAAGGAUAUUGAAACGAUCAUCAUCAUCCAAGACUGGAAUCUUCUUGAUAGUAAUGUCCCAACAAUUAAGUUGUCUUGUGUCAAUUGAUUCGAUAGCUCGAGUUAUCUUGUCAAUGUACAAGCAAGUUUGUCUAUAAUAUCUGAUUGAGUACUUUUGGAAUCAAAUGAAGUAGUUUUGCUUCAAACUCAAUUCUUCUUCAUUUUCGAAUUGAUGUGGGAACCUCUGACCUUAUAGGAUCUUGUUUAUCUAUUUGUAUAAAUGCUUCAGUAUCAGGACCAUACAUGGAGUUAGCUAUUAAACCGUCACAAUUAUUUAUUUUUUU